rnacentral:rRNA from 1 species
CGCGUAGGCGGUUAUUUAAGUUGGAUGUGAAACCCCUGGGCUUAACCUAGGACGUGCAUACAAGACUGGGUAACUGGAGUACUGUAGAGGGUAGUGGAAUUUCCGGUGUAGCGGUGAAAUGCGUAGAGAUCGGAAGGAACACCAGUGGCGAAGGCGGCUACCUGGACAGAUACUGACGCUGAGGCGCGAGAGCGGUGGGGAAGCAAACA